rnacentral:rRNA from 1 species
GAUGAACGCUAGCUACAGGCUUAACACAUGCAAGUCGAGGGGAAACGGCAUUGAGUGCUUGCACUCUUUGGACGUCGACCGGCGCACGGGUGAGUAACGCGUAUCCAACCUUCCCAUUACUGUGGGAUAACCUGCCGAAAGGCAGACUAAUACCACAUAGUCUUCGAUGACGGCAUCAGAUUUGAAGUAAAGAUUUAUCGGUAAUGGAUGGGGAUGCGUCUGAUUAGCUUGUUGGCGGGGUAACGGCCCACCAAGGCGACGAUCAGUAGGGGUUCUGAGAGGAAGGUCCCCCACAUUGGAACUGAGACACGGUCCAAACUCCUACGGGAGGCAGCAGUGAGGAAUAUUGGUCAAUGGACGGAAGUCUGAACCAGCCAAGUAGCGUGCAGGAUGACGGCCCUAUGGGUUGUAAACUGCUUUUGUAUGGGGAUAAAGUUAGGGACGUGUCCCUAUUUGCAGGUACCAUACGAAUAAGGACCGGCUAAUUCCGUGCCAGCAGCCGCGGUAAUACGGAAGGUCCAGGCGUUAUCCGGAUUUAUUGGGUUUAAAGGGAGCGUAGGCUGGAGAUUAAGUGUGUUGUGAAAUGUAGACGCUCAACGUCUGACUUGCAGCGCAUACUGGUUUCCUUGAGUACGCACAACGUUGGCGGAAUUCGUCGUGUAGCGGUGAAAUGCUUAGAUAUGACGAAGAACUCCGAUUGCGAAGGCAGCUGACGGGAGCGCAACUGACGCUUAAGCUCGAAGGUGCGGGUAUCAAACAGG